GGAAUCUUUCCUCUGAUCCUCCCCGUCUUAUGCCUCUCACCGUCUUGAACAGCGAGUACUAGGUGUGAGAAUAUGCAGGUAAAUAGGAGGAGGGGCUGAGUCCAAGGCUUUUCACCCAGCGAGUGUUGUGCUUCAAGGAGGCUGGACCAGUUCUCCAGUUCCAGCAACAACGAGGGUGGGUGGUCCCCCUCACCGCCAGGUGCUCUUCUGCCUCCUCCCCCAAUUACAAAGACCCUCAUGAUUACACUGGGCCCACCUGGACGAUGCAGGCUACAUAUGCUCGCUCUCUUAAGUAGGUCAUGGACCUCUUUUGAGGGCCAUUAUUCUGCCAACUGCAGCCUCCCAGAGGAGGUGACACUUGGGCUGAGACCAGACGUGCCACGCACAGAGCCAGGGAAGGAGAGUUCUGACAUCAGGAGCAAUGAGUGGAUGGCUGAGGAGCCCAGCUAGAGAUGAAGGACAGACUACCUCUAGAUUCGUCUCUGAUGUGACGGUGGAGCCCGUGGCACCAGCAAGUGCAAACACCGGGUGACGUUGCUGAGCUCGCAGCGCAAACACGGCAGCCGGCCAUUCAUCUCAAGUCAAACCUACGGCUGUGGGACAAGGGGACAUGUGCCUCUCCAGCACCUGUUUUAAAAAUGCUUGGCGUUGCUGAUUACUUCCUGUUUCUGGACCAUCCUCAGCCUUGUUU
rnacentral:lncRNA from 1 species